AAAAUUAAAAUACUAAAUCUUAAUCUAACCUAUGGCAUUCAUCAUUUACUGCAAAGACUACUUGGGUAUCUAAUCCUGUUUGUGCUCUGUGCCUUCGUCCUUUAACGUCAGUUUCUACAUAGAGGGCUGCCUUCGCCUUUACCGAGUCCCUUUGGUAUCAUAGAAUUUCAUCUCUCCUCCUCAAGUACUGCCCUCUUAUAUAAAACUCUAGUCAAGUACUAACAUUAUAGAAGCUAUAUUGACCGUCUAGGUACCCUUUAAACCUAAUUAAGAUGAAUAACACUAGUCUCUUACGUAUUACCGCGACUGCUGGCACGCAAUUAGUCAAGACACGAUAUAUAUACUGUCAUUAUCAAUAUAUAAACAAA
rnacentral:rRNA from 1 species